CCUACGGGAGGCAGCAGUGAGGAAUAUUGGUCAAUGGGCGCGAGCCUGAACCAGCCAAGUCGCGUGAGGGAAGACGGUCCUAUGGAUUGUAAACCUCUUUUGUCGGGGAGCAAAAGACGCCACGCGUGGCGUUCCGAGAGUACCCGAAGAAAAAGCAUCGGCUAACUCCGUGCCAGCAGCCGCGGUAAUACGGAGGAUGCGAGCGUUAUCCGGAUUUAUUGGGUUUAAAGGGUGCGCAGGCGGAUUUUUAAGUCAGCGGUCAAAUCGUGGGGCUCAACCCCAUCCAGCCGUUGAAACUGGGGAUCUAGAGUGUGCGAGAGGUAUGCGGAAUGCGUGGUGUAGCGGUGAAAUGCAUAGAUAUCACGCAGAACCCCGAUUGCGAAGGCAGCAUACCGGUGCACAACUGACGCUCAGGCACGAAAGCGUGGGUAUCGAACAGGAUUAGAUACCCCAGUAGUC
rnacentral:rRNA from 1 species